AUUGAACGCUGGCGGCAGGCCUAACACAUGCAAGUCGAACGAGUGGCGGACGGGUGAGUAAUGUCUGGGAAACUGCCCGAUGGAGGGGGAUAACUACUGGAAACGGUAGCUAAUACCGCAUACCCUCGGAUGUGCCCAGAUGGGAUUAGCUUGUAGGUGGGGUAACGGCUCACCAAGGCGACGAUCCCUAGCUGGUCUGAGAGGAUGACCAGCAACACGGGAACUGAGACACGGGCCAGACUCCGACGGGAGGCAGCAGUGGGGAAUAUUGCACAAUGGGCGCAAGCCUGAUGCAGCCAUGCCGCGUGUAUGAAGAAGGCCUUCGGGUUGUAAAGUACUUUCAGCGGGGAGGCGUUACCCGCAGAAGAAGCACCGGCUAACUCCGUGCCAGCAGCCGCGGUAAUAC
rnacentral:rRNA from 1 species